rnacentral:rRNA from 1 species
CCUACGGGUGGCAGCAGUGGGGAAUAUUGCACAAUGGGGGAAACCCUGAUGCAGCGCCGCCGCGUGAGCGAAGAAGUAUUUCGGUAUGUAAAGCUCUAUCAGCAGGGAAGAAAAUGACGGUACCUUAGUAAGAAGCUCCGGCUAAAUAAGUGCCAGCAGCCGCGGUAAUACGUAUGGAGCAAGCGUUAUCAGGAUUUACUGGGUGUAAAGGGAGCGCAGGCGGCCUUGCAAGUCUGAUGUGAAAUACCGGGGCUCAACCCCGUAGCUGCAUUGGAAACUGUGAGGCUGGAGUGUCGGAGAGGCAGGCGGAAUUCCUAGUGUAGCGGUGAAAUGCGUAGAUAUUAGGAGGAACACCAGUGGCGAAGGCGGCCUGCUGGACGAUGACUGACGCUGAGGCUCGAAAGCGUGGGGAGCAAACAGGAUUAGAUACCCGUGUAGUC